rnacentral:rRNA from 1 species
UGGGGAAUUUUGGACAAUGGGCGAAAGCCUGAUCCAGCAAUGCCGCGUGUGUGAAGAAGGCCUUCGGGUUGUAAAGCACUUUUGUCCGGAAAGAAAUCCUUGGCUCUAAUACAGUCGGGGGAUGACGGUACCGGAAGAAUAAGCACCGGCUAACUACGUGCCAGCAGCCGCGGUAAUACGUAGGGUGCAAGCGUUAAUCGGAAUUACUGGGCGUAAAGCGUGCGCAGGCGGUUUGCUAAGACCGAUGUGAAAUCCCCGGGCUCAACCUGGGAACUGCAUUGGUGACUGGCAGGCUAGAGGUAUGGCAGAGGGGGGUAGAAUUCCACGUAGUAGCAGUGAAAUGCGUAGGAGAUGUGGAGGAAUACCC